UCAGUCGUAUCUAAUCGAUUGCCGGUUGUCAAAAAAAGAAGAGAGUCCAAACUUCUAAAGAAGUCGCACUACAGAAGCAAAACUAAGAUACAGCUAACAGAAGGCUUUAAAACCACUUUUCUCAGGGCUUACAAAAAUGUGACUCGUCUCCGAACAAAGUUCAGAAGUCGAAGUUUCUUCGCAGGAGAAAAGAUUUACUUAAGACAUGAGCAUCCGGCUACAGGACCUCAGGGUGUAAGAGGAAAUCACCAUGGCAACACAGUUUACCAUCGACGAUGCGUUUGUGCUGGAGGGAGAUGAGGAGGGGGCUGUGACUGGCGGAGAGCCGCAGGGAUGGAAGGACAGAGAAGGAGGAGAGAUGACAUUUGGCCCUUUGAGUUUCUCCAAACCUCAGAAUCAUCCCUCACCUGCUGCCGCCGCCUCCCCUGAACCCACUAACCUCAAGUAUCAGAAUCUGGAAAAUGAAGAUGCCUUGGGCAACAACGGGAAUUCCUCUUUCAAUAACUUCUUCAAAAUCAGUGACCCUGCAACACUGUCUUACUGCAGCUCUCAGUGGUCCUUCAGCACCUUGAGUUCAGUCACGCAGCUUUCUGCACACUGCUGCGGGUGGAUGUCCCAUCCGCUGGUGAAGAAAAACAGAAGGGUUGUUCUCUCUUCAUUCCUUCUCCUCAUCACUGGAGUUGCUCUUAUUUUCACAGGUAUUGGCAUACAGCUCAAUCCAAGUGCAGGCAGCUGCAAAUAUCACAGAUUGAGCUACAGCUGAAAUCUUUGACACCACCACUUAAACUUGCCUAACCAAACUGAAAGUACCAUCGAUAUUGAUGGUAAUAUAUUAGGAAUUUGCAGUUUGGCUGUUUCUGCUGUCUUCUGGGGUUACCCCCAAUUUUCUCCAUUUUCAUGCCUUCCCUUCAGCCGCAUAAUUUAUAAUCAUAAGAUAUUUUUUCACCUUCUUGUUCACACCUUUUAUUAAUGUUGUUGGAAAACUAAGCAUUGAUUUCCAACAACAACAUGUUAAUCUUGUCAAAUGAGUAGUUAGUUAUUUUCAAUAUGUAUGCAGCUGUAGCUUCAGAUUUACUCUACAGGCAAACUUUAUCAAUCCUCUCAUUUAACUUAGCAUUUCUGGCUGUUUCAGAGCAUGUAAAUGUUAAAUGGACUGGUAGUUAUGUAGUACUUUCUUAAUCUAAUUAAGAACUCAAAGCGUUGUGUGUGUUUUCUCUUGACUGGAGCUAAUAAAACUGUCCCCACAGGUAUUUCAAGUGCUAUUUUCUUCAUUCCUGGAUUUCUUCUGUUUAUCCCUGGAGUGUACCAUGUGAUUUACAUCAGCUGUGCAGUCCGUGGUAGAAGAGGCUUCAAACUGUUCUACCUACCUUAUUUUGAAAAAUGAAAUUUUA